GGUAGCGAAGGGCUGGAGGCAAACACCGAGCUCCCCCUGAGCCGCCUGGGAGCAGGGAGGGUUCUGCUACCCUGAGGGGCCCUCCCCGCGGGGCAGAGGAGGCUGUUGGGAAGGUGGGAUGACCUAGGAUUGACCUUGGACUUGACAUCACAGAAGCCAUUUCAACCUUCACAGGGUUUCCUCAGCAGUGCCCCGGAGCAGGGACCGCGCCAGCCAGCAGAAACAGCUAGUUGUUGUCUGCAGUGAAGAAUAAUUGGAAGCAUGGUGCCUGUUUCUUUUCCUGUGGGAGGAAGUCACAGCAUCUACUUCUGAAUCUGUGCUUGCCUUGAGGAAAAACGGCAUGGCACAGGAAUGUGGACGCUUUCAACCAGAGGAUUCUGUACGACGGUGUCGGCACACAAGGAGUGUUCCACUGACUGACCUCUUUUUGUUUUCAAAUGAAGAGGAGCCAAGAAUAGGACAGCUUGGGAAGGUGAGCUGCGUAUAGCUCGUCAGGCUGAGCUCAUCCUCGUCUACGGCCAAACGUUGGUUUCUCAUUUCUAGAAGAUGAAAGAUGUGAUGACUCAGGAAAAACUGGAAUCUUAGUAACUGUGGUGGGCAUUGAGCCUUGCCGUCCACAAGAGAAAGCUUGCUGCUCGAGAUGUGAGUCUUCAGAUGUUCCUGCCGCCAUAUCUGACAGCUGCUGCCAAGAUUCCCUGGUGGGAUGGACUCUUAUACCUCAACAACCAGAAGCCCAAGUAAACUCUUCUAUAAAUUGAAUGACUCAUGCUUAAAAAAAAAAACAAAAAACAAACUAUCUUUAUUUUGUGUGCAUUGGUGUUUUGCCUACAUAUAUGUCUGUGUGAGAGUGUCAGAUUCCUUGGAACUGUAGCUACAGAUAGUUGUGAGCCACCAUGUGGGUGCUGGGACUUGAACCCCAGUCCUCUAGAAGAGCAGCUGGUAGGUACUCUUAACCACUGGACCAUCCCUCUAGACCCUGAUCAUGGUGUUUUAACUACAGCAAAA
rnacentral:lncRNA from 1 species